rnacentral:rRNA from 1 species
ACGAACCGUGCGAACGUUAUUCGGAAUCACUGGGCUUAAAGCGCGUGUAGGCGGAUGGGGACGUCGGUCGCUGAAAUCCCCCGGCUCAACCGGGGAACUGGCCCCGAAACGCCCCGUCUGGAGGAACGUAGGGGGAUCUGGAACUUCCGGUGGAGCGGUGAAAUGCGUUGAGAUCGGAAGGAACGCCCGUGGCGAAAGCGAGAUCCUGGACGUUUUCUGACGCUGAGACGCGAAAGCUAGGGUAGCGAACGGGAUUAGAUACCCCGGUAGUCCUAGCCGUAAACGAUGGGCACUGGAUAGGGGGCUCGCCGAUGGGCUCCCUGUCGUAGGGAAACCGUGAAGUGCCCCGCCUGGGGAGUAUGGUCGCAAGGCUG